ensembl:lncRNA
AUGAACAGUCCUUUGACAAUAAUAGGAAACAAAGCCUCAAGUGAUCCAGAUUAUUUUAAAGAAGCAAAGAAAAACCUUUCCAGCUGUUUUUCUUACAGUAUCAUCUAUUCCAAUGCAAAGAUGUCAUCAAGAACUACUAAUAUAAGUAAUUGUUUAAUGUUUCAUAAUAAGCCACCCAGGAAAUACACUGCUUUCCAGAAAAUGCAAGCACUUCAACUCCAGGACAGAGAACCCUGGAGAUGUGAGUGCAGCCACUGGUACACGCUGGGAAAACCACACCAGAAUUCCAUAUUCUGCUUCAAUGAAAGUGCAGAGGGUUUGUUUUAG